UAAUACGUAGGGAGCAAGCGUUAUCCGGAUUUAUUGGGUGUAAAGGGUGCGUAGACGGGACAGCAAGUUAGUUGUGAAAUCCCUCGGCUUAACUGAGGAACUGCAACUAAAACUGUUAUUCUUGAGUGUUGGAGAGGAAAGUGGAAUUCCUAGUGUAGCGGUGAAAUGCGUAGAUAUUAGGAAGAACACCAGUGGCGAAGGCGACUUUCUGGACAAUAACUGACGUUGAGGCACGAAAGUGUGGGGAGCAAACAGGAUUAGAUACCCUGGUAGUCCACACCGUAAACGAUGGAUACUAGGUGUAGGGAACGAUUUAGUUUUCUGUGCCGUCGCAAACGCAAUAAGUAUCCCACCUGGGGAGUACGGCCGCAAGGUUGAAACUCAAAGGAAUUGACGG
rnacentral:rRNA from 1 species